rnacentral:rRNA from 1 species
GACGGAGGAUGCAAGUGUUAUCCGGAAUCACUGGGCGUAAAGCGUCUGUAGGUGGUUUAAAAAGUCCACUGUUAAAGAUUGAAGCUUAACUUCAAAAAUGCCGUGGAAACUUUUAAACUUGAGUAUGAUAGGGGUAGAGGGAAUUUCCAGUGGAGCGGUGAAAUGCGUAGAUAUUGGAAAGACCACCAAUGGCGAAGGCAACUCUACUGGGCCAUUACUGACACUGAGAGACGAAAGCUAGGGGAGCAAAUGGG